CGGCGUGCUUACACAUGCAAGUCGAGUGCGCGGUUGUACCAAUACAACUGGCGCACGGCGCACGGGUGCGUAACACGUGGGUAACCUGCCCUUUACUGGGGAAUAACCCCGGGAAACCGGGGCUAAUACCGCAUAAGAUCCGCAAGGAUGAAAGCCGUAAGGCGCCGAUGGAGGGGCCCGCGCACGAUUAUCUACUUGGUAGGGUAACGGCCUACCAAGGCUAUGAUCGUUA
rnacentral:rRNA from 1 species